rnacentral:lncRNA from 1 species
AAGCAUUCCCACCGAGAGAAGAAUGGGAUCGGAAGUUCCAGCAGGGAACGGAAGUCUCUGGCUGGAAAGGGGAAAUAAGUGACUAUAUCUGGGCUGUAGAGUGGUUGAAUGUUGCCUUUUCCUAAGCCACCCAUGGCUCUGCCCUGCCUCAUCCUGUGCCUAGAAAGACCCCAGACUCAUCUGGCAGAGAGGAGAAGCAGCUGGAUGAGGGGACGACCAUGGCUGGAUGUCAGAGAGAAGCAGCUUGUCUUCAGAGGGACAGCUUAAGGCGUAACUUCUGAGACGAAUCUGGCUGGAGAUAGCUGGACUUCAAGGGAAGACUACAUACCGGCCUGUCCCACCCCCCUCUUUUCAGCUCACCUUCCCUCUGAAAUCCACUUUGAUCAGCAAUAAAAUCCCAGGCAUUUGUCCUUUAA